UAUGUCAGGCUGGUCUUAGAUGGUCAGUGUUGUUCAGGCUGGUCUUAGAUGGUCAGUGUUGGUCAGGCUGGGCUUAGAUGGUCAGUGUUGGUCAGGCUGGUCUUAGAUCGUCAGAGUUGGUCAGGCUGGGCUUAGAUGGUCAGGCUCGUCUUAGAUGGUCAGUGUUGUUCAGGCUGGUCUUAGAUCGUCAGAGUUGGUCAGGCUGGUCUUAGAUGGUCAGUGUUGUUCAGGCUGGUCUUAGAUGGUCAGUGUUGUUCAGGCUGGGCUUAGAUGGUCAGGCUGGUCUUAGAUGGUCAGAGUUGGUCAGGCUGGUCUUAGAUGGUCAGUGUUGUUCAGGCUGGGCUUAGAUGGUCAGGCUGUUUUUAGAUGGUCAGUGUUGGUCAGGCUGGUCUUAGCUGGUCAUAGCUAACCAGACUUAACUGCUGAUGUUGGCUGGGUAACAUAUAGACCAGUUCAUUGUAUUUUAAAAAAAAUGCUAAAGAAUCACUGAUUGAUCUGAUUGACAGUCUGUUUGAUUAACUGAUCACAUGAUGUCUUUUAUUUUUCCUGUCACUUGGUGUUGCGAAGUAUACUUUAAAUAAUGUUCAGGAGCAC
ensembl:lncRNA